rnacentral:rRNA from 1 species
UACGUAGGGUGCGAGCGUUGUCCGGAAUUAUUGGGCGUAAAGGGCUCGUAGGCGGUUUGUCGCGUCGGGAGUGAAAUCCACUGGCUUAACUGGUGGCUUGCUUUCGAUACGGGCAGACUGGAGGUAUGCAGGGGAGAACGGAAUUCCUGGUGUAGCGGUGAAAUGCGCAGAUAUCAGGAGGAACACCGGUGGCGAAGGCGGGUCUCUGGGAAACAACUGACGCUGAGGAACGAAAGCGUGGGUAGCAAACAGG